GACGAACGCUGGCGGCGUGCUUAACACAUGCAAGUCGAACGGUAAGGCCCUUCGGGGUACACGAGUGGCGAACGGGUGAGUAACACGUGGGUGAUCUGCCCUGCACUUCGGGAUAAGCCUGGGAAACUGGGUCUAAUACCGGAUAGGACCACUGCCUGCAUGGGUGGUGGUGGAAAGCUUUUGCGGUGUGGGAUGGGCCCGCGGCCUAUCAGCUGGUUGGUGGGGUGAUGGCCUACCAAGGCGACGACGGGUAGCCGGCCUGAGAGGGUGACCGGCCACACUGGGGCUGGGGUACUGCCCAGACUCCUACGGGAGGCAGCAGUGGGGAAUAUUGCACAAUGGGCGCAAGACUGAUGCAGCGACGCCGCGUGAGGGAUGACGGCCUUCGGGUUGUAAACCUCUUUCAGCACCGACGAAGCGCAAGUGACGGUAGGUGCAGAAGAAGGACCGGCCAACUACGUGCCAGCAGCCGCAGUAA
rnacentral:rRNA from 1 species